GAUGAAGAACGUAGUGAAAUGCGAUAAGUAAUGCGAAUUGCAGAAUUCAGUGAGUCAUCGAAUCUUUGAACGCACAUUGCGCCCUGUGGUAUUCCGCAGGGCUUGCCUGUUCGAGCGUCAUUUCAACCCUCAAGCUCUGCUUGGUGUUGGGCCCUGCCCGCUGCGGCCGGCCCUAAAGACAGUGGCGGUGCCGCCUGGCCCUGAGCGUAGUACAUCUCUCGCUCCAGUGCCCGGUGGUAGCCUGCCAGAACCCCAACUCUCGUGGUUGACCUCGGAUCAGGUAGGGAUACCCGCUGAACUUAAGCAUAUCAAUAAGCGGAGGA
rnacentral:misc_RNA from 1 species